CAGAACGAGUAUCAUUAGGUCAUCUGUCCAUGCUACGCUGAUACAGACGUACGAGGGAAUCAGAUCUCUGCCCCAUGCGUAACGGCCUCUGAUUCUCCCUGUGCGCGUGUAGGCGGGUCUACGAGGCGGGUGGAUGGAUCCUUCUUCGGGUUCCGGGUUGGGCCGGAGGAUAGGAACAAGGCUGGGCCCAAACGGGAUCAGCUCGAGGUACAGUGAAGACGAGGCCGGCCUGGCGGUGAGGCUGAGCGGACUGGACCCAGUUGGCGUGAGUGGAUUGGGGAUCUCUAGGUAAUGGGCUAAAGUCAUGGGCCUGGCCCUAGACUUGGGUGAGAUGAGUCCAAAGGUCAUCAAUUGCCCCGUUACCUUCUCGGCAGUUAUUGCC
rnacentral:lncRNA from 1 species